CCGGCCCAUGUCCCUUGGAACAGGGCGUCGCAGAGGGUGAGAAUCCCGUGCCAGGCUGGCUGCCUCCUCCCGCGUGAAGGGCCUUCGACGAGUCGAGUUGUUUGGGAAUGCAGCUCCAAGUGGGUGGUAAAUUUCAUCUAAAGCUAAAUACCGGCGGGAGACCGAUAGCGCACAAGUAGAGUGAUCGAAAGAUGAAAAGCACUUUGAAAAUAGAGUCAAAAAGUACGUGAAAUUGUUGAAAGGGAAGCGCUUGAGACCAGACUCGGACCCGAGCAAACACCGUGCCCCUCGGGGCCGUGCAAUUGCCCGGGACUGGGCCAGCAUCAGUCGGCGUGGCGGGACAAAGGCGUGGGGAAUGUGGCUCCCCUCGGGGAGUGUUAUUAGGCCCACGCUGAAUGCCGCCGACGUCGACUGAGGACCGCGCCUAGGCUAGGAUGCUGGCUUAAUGGCCUUCAGCGACCCGUCUUGAAACACGGA
rnacentral:rRNA from 1 species